UCCACUCCCCUCACUCUGCUCGCCCCAUUCUCAUCCGCUGCCACGGCCUUGCCUAGCCGCCACGGAGGCUGCUUCAAUCUCUCGUGACGCCUCGGUCCACAGGCCCUUCCUUCCUCCCCUCCUCACUGCUCACCUUCACCGGUGCUGGUGGAUCUCACCGCGCGCGUUCUCGGCUGUGCCGGAGUGGACACUUCAGCACUCGCUCCGCGGCUAUAUUGAGGAGAUCAUAUUGAUGGAUCGAGGGGGCAGGACGUGGCGGCAGGGAUGGAUGUGCCGGCGAUGGUGACUGUGCUGGGGAUUCGGCGCCAACAGGUCGCGUCGCGGCUCGACGUUCCCGACGGCUGCCCACGGUGCACAGGUCGCCCGCGCCCCCGCCGGGCUCCUAGACCGCCACAACGGCGGAAUGGCCCCGCCUCCGUCGACUGGUGUAAUUUGGACAGGAGCAAGUGCGCCAAUCAAUUCUGAUGUGGUGAGAUGCACAGGGAGAGGCCUGCAUCAGCAAGGCUAGCAGGAGGCCAUCCUCAGGAGGUCUGCGCCACGACGCCCGUACGGACGGCCGCAAGGAGUGAAUUAAGUAUCCAUGGUUGUUCUCUGUUUUACACCCGUAGCAAACUUCAGAUUUGAGCAUUGAUCCAACUAUUUAGUAGUAAACCAGAUCACUUAAUAUCAAUUGUUCACUCUGAGUGAAUCUCACAUCAAAACACCCAGUUUGCAACUGUACUGAAAUACAAGGUGUCGGACAAUUUGUUCAGGACUACGGUCUCUGAUUUAGGUGUAGGAGAAUAUAUUUUUUUGACGGGUAGGUGUAGGAGAAUUUCUUCAGACUAUGGGCCUCUGAUUUAGGUAUAGGAUAAUCUCUCUCCAUGUUAUGUUUAUCAUGUCCUUUGAAAAUGCAUGAAUCUCUACUAUCAUGUUCUUCAGAACAAAUUUAAGUCAUGGCUCAAAAACUUUCACACAGAUUCUUUUGAUUAGGAACGAAUGAAUGAUCAAUACUUAUACAUCUUCCUAUUAUUAGUUAAUUAGGGGCACCAUAGUACCUAGCUGUUAAUUUGUAGACGCUUUUAACUGCUAUUUGUGAUUUUUCCUCUCCUUGCAGUUGGUCCUGUUUUCCCAUAUCAUCUGCUUUGUAGAGAUAAUCUCUCUUCGAUUUUGCAUUUGGCUUACUCAUUAGUUCUCCUAUUAGCUUCAGUAUCUUCACCAAGGAGUUCGGAGGCGAUGCAGCAGUGGUGAAGGCGAUGGUUGUGUCGGGUGCAGGCAGGUGCAGACGGGGUGAAUUGAGUUCAGAUCCUUGAACAAAUGAUUGUGAUUUUGUAGCUGCAGUGGUGCUAUUCUUUAUUAUUCCUUGACUUGUAUUCUUCUGCGCUCACUAUGCCUGCAAACAGAAGCACACGAUUUUGGAUGUCCUGAAGCGCAUACAAUUUUGGAUGUCCUGAGGCGCAUACACACGAUUUUGUUUGACUUGGGUGUUGAAACUGCCCUUUUGUCAUAACAUUGAUACAGUGUGAUGCCUAUGGGAAGAAGUGGUGCUUUGAGAGAAUAGGUUAAAGUGCAGUCACGUGCAUUGGCUUUCUCAUGUGGGUUGGGCCUCAUACUUUUCUGUGAAAGCAAUCGCAUUAGGAGUAAACUGUUCAUGCGAUGGUUGUAUGAGAUGUGAUGCCUGUAUGAGAUGCGAUGAUGUAUGAGAUGUGAUGGCUGUAUCAAAUAUACUAAGAAUACUAGGCCUGUAAGGGUUCGAUUUUUCUGGUUUUUUUGAACUUUUUACUGCUGCUAUAGAAUUGAUGCGUGUGA